rnacentral:rRNA from 1 species
AGAACGAACGCUGGCGGCAUGCCUAAUACAUGCAAGUCGAACGAACACUUCGGUGUUAGUGGCGCACGGGUGCGUAACGCGUGGGAAUCUGCCCUUGGGUUCGGAAUAACAGUUGGAAACGACUGCUAAUACCGGAUGAUAUCGAAAGAUCAAAGAUUUAUCGCCCAGGGAUGAGCCCGCGUAGGAUUAGCUAGUUGGUGAGGUAAAGGCUCACCAAGGCGACGAUCCUUAGCUGGUCUGAGAGGAUGAUCAGCCACACUGGGACUGAGACACGGCCCAGACCUCCGUACGGGAGGCAG